rnacentral:lncRNA from 1 species
UCAGUAUGUGCUUGACAUGCAAAUUAUUUGAUUUUCUGGGAAAUAGCUUGCUGUUGGGCAAGGGAUCUGAAUAUUAUAUGGUAGCUAGUGCAUAUUAUGUAUAUUCUGUUAGUUAUUAUAUGUAUAUGAUCAUAGGACACAAUAUAUGAACAUGCAUAUGGAUCUGAAUGUAGUUAAUUAGGUUGUAAAUUAGGUUAUAUAUAUGUAUCUGAAUGUAGUUAAUUAGGUUGUAAAUUAGGUUAUAUAUAUGUAUCUGAAUGUAGUUAAUUAGGUUGUAAAUUAGGUUAUAUAUAUGUAUCUGAAUGUAGUUAAUUAGGUUGUAAAUUACAGAGUUACA